rnacentral:rRNA from 1 species
UGGGGAAUAUUGGACAAUGGGCGCAAGCCUGAUCCAGCCAUGCCGCGUGAGUGAAGAAGGCCUUAGGGUUGUAAAGCUCUUUCGCCCGCGACGAUGAUGACGGUAGCGGGAGAAGAAGCCCCGGCUAACUCCGUGCCAGCAGCCGCGGUAAUACGGAGGGGGCGAGCGUUGUCCGGAUUUACUGGGCGUAAAGGGCGCGUAGGCGGCCUAGCAAGUUGGGGGUGAAAUGCCUGGGCUCAACCUGGGAACUGCCUUCGAAACUGCUGGGCUCGAGACCGGGAGAGGAUGGUGGAAUUCCCAGUGUAGAGGUGAAAUUCGUAGAUAUUGGGAAGAACACCGGUGGCGAAGGCGACCAUCUGGACCGGCUCUGACGCUGAGGCGCGAAAGCGUGGGGAGCAAACAGGAUUAGAUACCCCCGUAGUCC